AGUGAACGCUGGCGGUAGGCCUAACACAUGCAAGUCGAACGGCAGCACAGUAAGAGCUUGCUCUUACGGGUGGCGAGUGGCGGACGGGUGAGGAAUACAUCGGCAUCUACUUUUUCGUGGGGGAUAACGUAGGGAAACUUACGCUAAUACCGCAUACGACCUACGGGUGAAAGCAGUGGAUCUUCGGACCUUGCGCGAUUGAAUGAGCCGAUGUCGGAUUAGCUAGUUGGCGGGGUAAAGGCCCACCAAGGCGACGAUCCGUAGCUGGUCUGAGAGGAUGAUCAGCCACACUGGAACUGAGACACGGUCCAGACUCCUACGGGAGGCAGCAGUGGGGAAUAUUGGACAAUGGGCGCAAGCCUGAUCCAGCCAUGCCGCGUGGGUGAAGAAGGCCUUCGGGUUGUAAAGCCCUGUUGUUGGGAAAGAAAAGCAGCAGGUUAAUACCCCGCUGUUCUGACGGUACCCAAAGAAUAAGCACCGGCUAACUUCGUG
rnacentral:rRNA from 1 species